UACAGAGGUGGCAAGCGUUGUUCGGAAUUACUGGGCGUAAAGGGCGCGUAGGCGGCCUUCUAAGUCGGACGUGAAAGCCCCAGGCUUAACCUGGGAACUGCGUCCGAUACUGGGAGGCUUGAGUAUGGGAGAGGGAUGUAGAAUUCCAGGUGUAGCGGUGAAAUGCGUAGAUAUCUGGAGGAAUACCGGUGGCGAAGGCGGCAUCCUGGACCAUAACUGACGCUGAGGCGCGAAAGCUAGGGGAGCAAACGGG
rnacentral:rRNA from 1 species